rnacentral:rRNA from 1 species
AGUGAACGCUGGCGGUAGGCCUAACACAUGCAAGUCGAACGGCAGCACAGUAAGAGCUUGCUCUUACGGGUGGCGAGUGGCGGACGGGUGAGGAAUACAUCGGAAUCUACUUUUUCGUGGGGGAUAACGUAGGGAAACUUACGCUAAUACCGCAUACGACCUACGGGUGAAAGCAGGGGAUCUUCGGACCUUGCGCGAUUGAAUGAGCCGAUGUCGGAUUAGCUAGUUGGCGGGGUAAAGGCCCACCAAGGCGACGAUCCGUAGCUGGUCUGAGAGGAUGAUCAGCCACACUGGAAAUGAGACACGGUCCAGACUCUGACGGGAGGCAGCAGUGGGGAAUAUUGGACAAUGGGCGCAAGCCUGAUCCAGCCAUACCGCGUGGGUGAAGAAGGCCUUCGGGUUGUAAAGCCCUUUUGUUGGGAAAGAAAAGCAGCAGGUUAAUACCCCGCUGUUCUGACGGGACCCAAAGAAUAAGCACCGGCUAACUUCGU